UACGUAGGGGGCAAGCGUUGUCCGGAUUUAUUGGGCGUAAAGAGCGUGUAGGCGGCUAGGUAGGUCCGUUGUGAAAACUCGAGGCUCAACCUCGAGCUGUCGAUGGAAACCAUCUGGCUAGAGUCCGGAAGAGGAGAGUGGAAUUCCCGGUGUAGCGGUGAAAUGUGUAGAGAUCGGGAGGAACACCGGUGGCGAAGGCGGUCUUCUGGACGGUGACUGACGCUGAGGCGCGAAAGCGUGGGGAGCAAACGGG
rnacentral:rRNA from 1 species